CUCGAUUUAAAGUCAUGAAGAGUGCAGGAGUAAAAGAGUUGUGGCAUCUUCCCUUCUCAAAAGGCCAGUUCCUGUUUGUGGGUGGGGCACACCCAGUUAAGUGGGCAAGCCCACGGAGGUCCUGCAACCCUUUGCUUCCUUGAGGACACCUCAGCUGAGCGUCUCGUUUCACACAGAACCAGGCUGUCGUGGGCCUUCCUUCCUUCUGUGGUUGUGCUGGAAGACGUCAUCAAAUUGUCUGUCCACGCGCCAGAUUCCUC
rnacentral:lncRNA from 1 species